rnacentral:snRNA from 1 species
AUUCUUGUGCUAGGGCAUAACCACGCGCGUGAGGUUUCUACCGAUGCUGGUUUAUUGCUGGUUGAAAACUACAACCAAUACCCGUCUGCGGUACCUUCGGGUGCAGCAGCAAUUUUUGGCAGUCUCGUGAGAGA